ACAAAUCAUGAUGUAGUGUUGCUGUGUAACAGCAGCACACUACAAAUUAACCCGAACCUGUGCCUUCUGGCCAGGCUAGGUGUGGGUGAAUGAGUGCGCUAGGCUUGUCCUAAUGUACUCUUUGCUCGCGGUGAAGACGAAAGUCGGAUCCACAUAGACGCUUGUUUUUGUUUGACAGAUUUCAAUUGUAUCCAAAAUUAAUGA
rnacentral:misc_RNA from 1 species